UUAGAAUGUGGACGAAUCUCACAAUGGUUACUCGAUGGCCUUCACUUUCGUUAUUUGUUGUUGGCGGAUUAAUAAUUGCUUUGAAUUUCAUCACAGAACUAAUUGCAUUUGAUUUGGUUUCCCUCUUUCAGCUACCCUUGUAUAUUAUAAUAUUAUUCGCAAUGGGCUGGAUGGGGAAAAAAUCUUAGCAUUUUCGGACCGCAUACGAUAUGAUACUUUUUAUGCAUGUCCUUGGGAUGGUGACGCGAAUACUGUGAAGAUUCUAAUGUUGAUGAACUUGAAUUGUAGUCACAAAUUACGGCUACCACUCGGCGAUUACGGAUCAUGUUCAAACGCUUUUGUGCUUUCGGUGUUUAAGUUUGCUUACUCAAUUGUAAUGGGGUAUAUCAAUUACAAAAAAUAAGGCACACUAUUCAAAGUCAGCUUUUUUU